rnacentral:rRNA from 1 species
CGCCUCCUGCUAACCUAUAGGAGGUCCAGCCUGCCCGGUGACCUAGUUUAACGGCCGCGGUAUCCUAACCGUGCGAAGGUAGCGUAAUCACCUGUUUUUUAAUUGAAGACCUGUAUGAAUGGCAUCACGAGAAUCAUACUGUCUCCUUUUUCUAAUCAGUGAAACUAAUCUUCCCGUGAAAAAGCGGGGGCACAAAUACAAGACGAGAAGACCCUUUGGAGCUUUAGACAAAGUAACGUUUCGCAUAUUUAUCAUCCACCUAUUUCCCAAAGCAUUUACAUUACAAGUCUUCGGUUGGGGCAACCGCGGAGUAAAAAUUACCCUCCAAGUUGAAUGGAAUUUUCCUAAACAAAAAGACACAACUUUACGUAUCAUAAAAAUGACAAGCAUGACCCAAUAUUUUGAUUAUCGAACCAAGUUACCCUAGGGAUAACAGCGCAAUCCACUUCGAGAGUUCAUAUCGACAAGUGGGCUUACGACCUCGAUGUUGGAUCAAGGUAUCCCAGUGGUGCAGCCGCUACUAAAGGUUCGUUUGUUCAACG